UCUUUAGGCAAGGAAUCCGGAACGUCAAGUGGACACGCCGGAGGUGAUACCCGCGGAAAAGGUGCGCUUUGAAGGUAUGAAUGAAUCUCUCCCGGAUGACGAUCAAGCACUUUGUCAAGAACCGAACACGCAAAUCGAAGCUUCCGCACUGAAUAUGAUCCUGUCUAAACUUUAAACAUGUCAUAAAGAUUUUGUUAAUGGUGUUUUGAAUCCUUUAAACUAGUUGUUAGUUGACUAGUAAGGGUUGCCUUUAAAUGAA